GUAAGACUUGUUCCCCAUACGACGGCCUCAAUGAAGCUUCCUAUUCGACUCUGGUAUUCGCCAGGAAAACUUCUCCCGCUCUGUUGGAGGAAGUCGCCAGGGGAAAGAACACCUUUACUAGUCAGCAGUGUCCGAACCAUGUAAAAGAAAAUGCAGUCGACGGAAACGAAACGACCUUAUACCACUCUGAUGGUCAAGUAAACCCUUUCUGGACAGUCGAUUUGGGAGAAGUCCGGAACGUAUCUCUGGUCAGGAUCCUUCCUAAUGGCAACCAGUUCAACAACAUUGAGAUACGCCUUGGCAGGGACAAUCUGACAACGGGGGACUUCUCGUCCUACGCCUUGCUGGCCAGAUACACCGGUCCUUACUCAUUGUCUCAGGAGUACCUGGCCUGCCACUCACGAGGGGUCCUUGGAAGAUAUCUCAGCAUCCAGAAGGUUCCACCAGGCACUACUUACUUGGGGUUGCUGGAGGUGGAGGUGUACGCCACAAAGAGGCCUUGAAAUAUCAAUAUUAUAGUCAAAAUAAUCUUCUUUUUCUUCUCUCUGAAAAUGUUACAAGAUAAAAGGACUCAAUUCAUGGCGAUUUCCAGAAUAAAAAAAAAUAAAGUUUAAUUUUUUUUCAAUGCCCUUUAUGAGAAAUAGAAAAAUUGUGUAAACUGAG